AAUUCAUGAAUAAUUUUUAAUUGCAAGUAUUACAAUUUUGCAUAUUAAGAGUGACUGAAUCCGCCGACGAGGAUUCUAAUUCCAACGGCUCAAUUGGAUCGUAUUCUACUCCACCUGAGUACGAACCAAGCCCACCUAGGACUCGCAGGCAUCUAGAUGAAGAUGAUCCCGAAUACAAUCCAACUGCGGAUCAUCAGGUACCUGCAUGCACAUCAUAUACUAGCUAGUGAUAUGUUUGUUGUUUACAUGAAGAUGAUAAACUCCAGCUAUUGUUUUCUCUAUAGAACGAUGACCAAUCCCCGGUUCAUUCACCGCCGCUACAUCGUAGAACAUCAAC
rnacentral:lncRNA from 1 species